rnacentral:rRNA from 1 species
GACGCUGGCGGCGUGCCUAACACAUGCAAGUCGAGCGAGGAGAUUCCUUCGGGAUGAUCCUAGCGGCGGACGGGUGAGUAACACGUGGGCAACCUGCCUCAUAGAGAGGAAUAGCCUUCCGAAAGGGAGAUUAAUACCUCAUAACAUUGCAGUUUCGCAUGGAACAGCAAUUAAAGGAGUAAUCCGCUAUGAGAUGGGCCCGCGGCGCAUUAGCUAGUUGGUGAGGUAACGGCUCACCAAGGCGACGAUGCGUAGCCGACCUGAGAGGGUGAUCGGCCACAUUGGGACUGAGACACGGCCCAGACUCCUACGGGAGGCAGCAGUGGGGAAUAUUGCACAAUGGGGGAAACCCUGAUGCAAGCAACGCCGCGUGAGUGAUGACGGCCUUCGGGUUGUAAAGCUCUGUCUUCAGGGACGAUAAUGACGGUACCUGAGGAGGAAGCCACGGCUAACUACGUGCCAGCCGCAGC